rnacentral:rRNA from 1 species
UACGUAGGGUGCAAGCGUUGUCCGGAAUUAUUGGGCGUAAAGAGCUCGUAGGCGGUGUGUCGCGUCGGCCGUGAAAACCUGCAGCUUAACUGUGGGCUUGCGGUCGAUACGGGCAUCACUGGAGUUCGGCAGGGGAGACUGGAAUUCCUGGUGUAGCGGUGAAAUGCGUAGAUAUCGGGAGGAACACCAGUGGCGAAGGCGGCUUCCUGGACCGGUUCUGACACUGAGGAGCGAAAGCGUGGGGAGCGAUCCGG